ACCUCCAAUAUAUUCUGUUCCCUCUAAUUUCUAAUUAAAAAAAAGUCGUAAAACAUAAUAUCAUUCAUCUGAAAUGUUGUAUAGGGUUUAUUCUCAUCCGUGAUAUUUUAGUGUGGAAUUGAAAUCGCACAGCUAGGGUUUUGUUUAUCAAUUCUUAGAACAACUAGAGGCAAUUUAUUACUGGGAUAGGUGUAAAAUUGCAGAUUUUACUUGCUGGCUUGACCUCAAAACCACCCCCCGAAAUCAUCACAGAAAAUGGAAUUAGAUUCCUCCGAUCUAUUCACUCUGUGUGUUUUUCUUGAUUUGAUCAGUUGAUUUCUUGGUGUGGGUCAUGAUCAAUAAUCCCUUUGAUUCAUAUGUCUGAACUUCAGAAUUAUCAAAAUGCUCUGAAAACACUAGAUGAUUCAUUCACGAUAGUGUUUGGAAAGGAGAAGCCCGGUCGAAUUAGAGGCUAUGGUAGCUCAGUGACAACAACUUCUCUGAAAAAAGAUGAGGAAAUGAACGAGCUUAAACAAAAGCAUGCUAAUGAAGUCACUUCUAUGAAGGAAGAAAUAAGUGAAAUGAGAGAAGAAAUGUGAGUUUUUUAGUCAAUUGGUGCAAAACAACCCUGGAUUGAAUUUUCAAGUUAUACCAGGGAGCGACGGAUUUAACAUUCCUUCACCUGAUGUGAGUAAUGCACAAGCUAUAAGAGGAAAAAUUCUUUGAAAUUCUUCCAGCUCAGCUCAUGCUUCAAUUCAUGAAAAGGAAAAUGCGGGUGAUCAAAUUUGAAUGGUGGGCGCCACAACUCAACUUGAUCUAGAUUGAAGUGAAUGAUGAAGAAUUUUUGAAAUAUCUUGAUAUACGUUUAAAUAAAUUUGAUUUUGUGUGGGACUUGGUACAAAUUCUUACAAUGUUUUCUAAUUAGUAUGUAAAAGACAUGUUUUUUGGAAGUUCAUUGCAAAUCUAUGCACUUCAAUUAUUUAGUAGCUAAUUAGUGUGUGAGAUUACAUAUAAAUAUGUGUGUUUAUGUAAUGUUCUUAGCUAUGUAUUCAUUCCAAUCAAAAUAAUUAUUUUUCAA